UCUGUAAUGUUCUUUGGGCGAGAGACGUUAAUAACAACAUAAGCCUCAUUUUAAUAAAUCGGAGAGGAUCUUGAGGUAUUUAACAUCUCUUCUUAGGGUUAUGAAAGCUUCAAAAUGACUGUCUAAUAUAAGUGUGAAGUGUAGGAGUUCAUUAAUUUGAAGAAGGGUAGGAGUUCAAAUUGACAUUGCUCAUCAUGAUCAUAACAACUGGGUAAAUGGUAAUAUUUAUGGUUUAACUAAAAUCAUUACUUGAAAGAUCUAAAAUUAUGUAAAACACUUGGGUAUCAGGAGUUCAUAACCCGCCAGCGCUGAAUAAUCAUAGAAUACAAUAUUAAGGAUUAAAACUAUAGUAUGAAAUCAUGGUUCAAAGACUCAAAAUACAGACAUUUCAUCAAACAUGUAAGAGUCAUAAACUUGAACAUGAGAAUGUUCUAAGUAUGAGGAAAAUCAUGUAAUUGCAUGGCUAAAUUUAUAAUUCAAUAUUAUAACAUGAAAUUCAUUUGGAUAUUGACAUGAGAAAUUAGAUCAUGAAGCAAGAGAUAACUUGAAUUUUCUUGAAACCAUACAUGGACAUGAAUUGAGUUAAUUACUAAGGAAAGGCAGAAGGUAAGCCAUCUUGAACAUACAAAAACUCCAUAAUAAGAGAAAAUCCAUACUUUAAUUGAAAAGAAGGUUUUUGGGCUCCAUGGGUGAAAAGGACCCAUGGAUGAACAUCCUACAUAUCUUAAUAGCUAUAAUCCUAACGAUUGCUUGAACUUAGAAGCUUGAACCCUUGAUUUCUUAAGAAUGAAGCUUGGGUUUGAUAUUGGGGUAGGAGGAGGGUUUCUUGAGAGCAAUUUAUGGUGAACGGGGCAAAUAACACCCUUUCAGAAGUUCCAACUCGUGUUAAGGAUGAAGGAUGAAAUAGGAUGAGGGAAAUGAAUCAAUUACCCCUUGGGUACUUAAACCAUGACACUGUAUGGGACAGAGCAACGCGUUAUGCCUCUCUCUCUGUGGGUGAGAGCAACACACCGUGUAGCUUACUCUGGGGGGAGAGCCACACAUCGUAGAGUACCUCAACAUAGGAGAGAGCAACACGUCCUGGCCUUAUCGUGUUGCUUCACUAUUUUGGCUUUCCAAACACGUCUCGAUCCUUAUCCAAAAAUCCCAAAACUCACUCGAGAUAUGCUUUUAACCUCCUUAACUAUGAAUCAACUUAAAAACCAACAUUUCAGGGUUGAGAAUGCCAAACUAAAAGUUCAUAAGUUUAGGGGUUUCGAAAAUGACUAAGUCCUUAACACUAGGUGAAAUUUUCAAGCCUUGGACCCCUUAAGCACACAACUAAGAGCUGAAUCAAUCUUGGAAUAUUAUUAGGUAUUAUACUAUAUCUACAUGUGGUCUAUAUAAGACUAAGGUAAUUACCAAAAUUGAAGAUCCGAAAAGUGAAAAAGCUGAAAAGGAACUUUGAGCACUUAUCUAUAUCAAUAUGUGGACCAUAUGUAGCACAUGUGGACCACAUAUGGGUAAGGUAAGUGCCAGAUGUCCAAAAUCCCCAGAGCAAAAGCUACAGGAAUUUUUCUAAGCACAUGCGUUGUCUACAUUCUCCCAUCCUCAUGUGGCACAUGUACCCAAGGCCAGGAUACGUGUGGACUCCACAUGUGGCCACCAACCUCAAUUUUUUUGGAUCGUUCCACAAUCAUUUCCUAGGGUUUCCAAGUAUCCUAAAUUCACUCCUAUGAUGUUUUUAUGUCUUAUUAUGUAUGGUUAGUUAAGUUUUCCUAUUUUAGUUAUGAAUUGAUUUGUAGGGUGUUUUGUAAUCUAUAAAUAUCCUUUGGGCUUUGUAUUCAUUCAUUCAGGCAUUCACAUAUUGAUUGAUUCAGAUGGAGGUCCUUUGGAGCCAAGUUCACAAAUAUCUUGAUGUUCUUAGCUUGUUAUUUAAUUUAAGACUCUGGGAUUUAUUCUUACAUUAUUGUGAGAUUGAUUCUAUAAUUUUGUCUGUGUAUUCCAUGAUUGAUCUCAUACUAUGAGCAAGUAAUUCCCUUAGCUAGGGUUGUGGGAACCCUGGAAGACUAAUGAAGUAGAGGAAGUACCAAGUCAUUCUAGAUAAAAAUUCUUGCAUGUAUUUGGUUCUUUCAGUCUUAUUAAUUUCUUAGCAGUGGCCAAUGUUACGAUCCAACCUAGAUUAUUGCUACUUACUUCAAAAGAGGAGUAUUAACUAGGAAAAAAAUAUCACAACAGUAAUGUGAAGAUCAACCGUCGAUCCACGCAAAUAGGUAUUAUCUAGCAAAAUGGUUAUCUAUUAUCUAAUAACUAGAGACUCAAAAGGUAAUAGUUAACUGAUAUCUAGGAUAACAGUUAGUAAGGCAACAUACUGAGACUCAAAAGGUAAAGAAUAAAAUCUAUCAACUAGUCCAAAAGACUAUUAAUGGUACAUAACUUAUCAGAUUGUGCAUGCAAGGCAUUAGAAUAGUUUUAUAGUGCACGAUAAGUCUAUUGAGUUGAGAAGCCAGGGGGAACAAAAGCCUAGUGUUCUUAUUAGAUUGUUUACAACCAAGAGCCACCAAUUCUUCUCCGUUUUCUAUUUCAACAAAUCUCCCCUUUUACUUCCCACACUGCCUGGUGAUUUUAAAAAGUUUGAGAAGAACUUUUGACCUAUUCUUUAGCUUGAAAGUUCUUAAUAUAUGAAUUAAGGUCAUAUAAUUUCCCUAACACAAAGUUAAAUUUGAAACUCUUUUUAAUAGAGUUUCGAUAUGGAUUUCUAUUUGGGACUAAUUCAAAUGAUCAUAUAUCCUAGAAUAGAAGGAUUUAGGUGGGACAAUACCCACUAAAUCAAAGAUCUCUUAUUCCUUUUUACAACUCAACAAACCAUUUGUCAAUCAGAAAGCAAAAUAAAAUGUUUCGACUACUUUACUAAUCACUAUGCAGGCUGAAAUGGGGAAUUUCAUUAUAGCAAAAUCUGGGUGGUAUUUAUAUUAGUUUCAGCUGUGUUUUAGGCCUAAUGUAAACUUCAUUAUUUAACCCUAGAGAGGUUAUUUUGCAAAGUUUAAUAAGAAAGUCUUUCAUUGAGGUAAUUUUUUUUUUUAUUAUUUUCUCUGUCUUUUAAUCUUUAUCAUCUUAGAAUCCUUAGAAAUAUCUUUAAUGGUGGAUUUGUUUGGGUAAAACUUAUGGGUACUUUUAAUAUGACCUAUAGCUGAUUCUAAAUUAUAAAUUAAAGAUUUCUAACAUGAAUUUCUUAAAAUAGAUUAUGAAUUUUGAUGGUUAGAAACCUUGAAUUCCAAAAUAUGAGACCUUUAGCAUAAAAACUCCAUUAAUAGAGAGGGUUAAGACUAAAAGAAACUAGUUAAUGGUUAAUUGAACUUGAAGAAUUAUAUAGACCUUGAUUUAAGUGUAGAAUUAGUGGAUUUGAAUUCUCAAGAUAUUUUUCUGAAGUUUAAUUGUUUAAUUACUUUUAAUAUUGUUUGAUUUUUAGGUGAUUGAUAUUCCAAGGCAUGAUAGAAACGAAAGAUCAUUCUUGUUGCGGCUUGCUUCUUUCAAAAUCUUGGCAUCCAGUUUUAGGUGGUGUAGUGCAUCUGUUGAGUUGCUGUGAAGUGGUGAGCUUCCAUCUUUCAGAAGGCAUGUUAUGUCAUUAGGUUUCUUUUCAUAUUUUGAAAAUUAUGGAUUUAUUUUUUUAUUGUCAAGGGCAUGUCCCCACUUAAUUGGUAUUCUCAUUUAGAGAGCUUUUGUGGACAAGUGUGGAUUGGUUAUUUGUUGGAUUCGUAGAUCUUUCAUUUGACUUAUAUACUCUUAUUACUA